rnacentral:rRNA from 1 species
GACGAACGCUGGCGGCGUGCCUAAUACAUGCAAGUCGAACGAACUCUGGUAUUGAUUGGUGCUUGCAUCAUGAUUUACAUUUGAGUGAGUGGCGAACUGGUGAGUAACACGUGGGAAACCUGCCCAGAAGCGGGGGAUAACACCUGGAAACAGAUGCUAAUACCGCAUAACAACUUGGACCGCAUGGUCCGAGCUUGAAAGAUGGCUUCGGCUAUCACUUUUGGAUGGUCCCGCGGCGUAUUAGCUAGAUGGUGGGGUAACGGCUCACCAUGGCAAUGAUACGUAGCCGACCUGAGAGGGUAAUCGGCCACAUUGGGACUGAGACACGGCCCAAACUCCUACGGGAGGCAGCAGUAGGGAAUCUUCCACAAUGGACGAAAGUCUGAUGGAGCAACGCCGCGUGAGUGAAGAAGGGUUUCGGCUCGUAAAACUCUGUUGUUAAAGAAGAACAUAUCUGAGAGUAACUGUUCAGGUAUUGACGGUAUUUAACCAGAAAGCCACGGCUAACUACGUGCCAGCAGCCGCGGUAAUACGUAGGUGGCAAGCGUUGUCCGGAUUUAUUGGGCGUAAAGCGAGCGCAGGCGGUUUUUUAAGUCUGAUGUGAAAGCCUUCGGCUCAACCGAAGAAGUGCAUCGGAAACUGGGAAACUUGAGUGCAGAAGAGGACAGUGGAACUCCUGGUGUAGCGGUGAAAUGCGUAGAUUAUAUGGAAGAACACAAGUGGCGAAGGCGGCUGUCUGGUCUGUAACUGACGCUGAGGCUCGAAAGUAUGGGUAGCAAACAGGAUUAGAUACCCUGGUAGUCCAUACCGUAAACGAUGAAUGCAAAGGUGUUGGAGGGUUCCGCCCUUCAGUGCUGCAGCUAACGCAUUAAGCAUUCCGCCUGGGGAGUACGGCCGCAAGGCUGAAACUCAAAGGAAUUGACGGGGGCCCGCACAAGCGGUGGAGCAUGUGGUUUAAUUCGAAGCUACGCGAAGAACCUUACCAGGUCUUGACAUACUAUGCAAAUCUAAGAGAUUAGACGUUCCCUUCGGGGACAUGGAUACAGGUGGUGCAUGGUUGUCGUCAGCUCGUGUCGUGAGAUGUUGGGUUAAGUCCCGCAACGAGCGCAACCCUUAUUAUCAGUUGCCAGCAUUAAGUUGGGCACUCUGGUGAGACUGCCGGUGACAAACCGGAGGAAGGUGGGGAUGACGUCAAAUCAUCAUGCCCCUUAUGACCUGGGCUACACACGUGCUACAAUGGAUGGUACAACGAGUUGCGAACUCGCGAGAGUAAGCUAAUCUCUUAAAGCCAUUCUCAGUUCGGAUUGUAGGCUGCAACUCGCCUACAUGAAGUCGGAAUCGCUAGUAAUCGCGGAUCAGCAUGCCGCGGUGAAUACGUUCCCGGGCCUUGUACACACCGCCCGUCACACCAUGAGAGUUUGUAACACCCAAAGUCGGUGGGGUAACCUUUUAGGAACCAGCCGCCUAAGGUGGGACAGAUGAUUAGGGUG